GAUUAUGUGUUUCAGAAGUACAGAGUUUAAGUCUUUCCUUAAGCUGUGAUGGGAAAUCGGAGUGCAGCUUCUUAGUCAGUAGUUCUCUGUUCGGAGAUCCCUGUCCUGAGACCUACAAGUACGUGGAGGUGCUAUAUCGUUGUGAAAGUAAAGGUGAAAUUGAAUGAAACGACCAUCAGAUCUGAUGUGCUGAGGAUGAAAUGCAUCCACAUGACACUAAUGUGGAUCACCAGCCCAAGCGGCUCCUUCUACAUCUAGAGACCUUGUGAUCCACUGAUGUGCAGCUUCAUCUCUCUUCAGUGUCUUCUAGUUUUCUGUACAUUUAUUUGUUUUUCUUCCCAAUCUUCAUCCUUUUGCUUUUAUUUCAACUUUCAUCAAUAAACCUGACUUGCAUUUA